CGGGGACUUGAACUAUUUCUGUAAUAUUUCGAUGGACACUCUCCGUGUGUAUGUUUUCCAGCUAGUUCACAGAGAAUUUACAGUAGUGGAAGGCUGCUGGAUUCUACUGAUCCAGCUAGAAUGAUCUAUUUUGGCUACCGAGCCAAUCAUACAAGACGUUCUUUGGAGUGUGUGUUUGCUGCUUCAAGAAUUUUGUGGAAACAGCCCUUUCUCUUAAAGAAAUCGUCACAUCAUUUAAUUUUAAGAAUACAAUUACAGUCGAUGGUAUAUGAGGACCUUGCAAAUCUCAGCAAAGGGACAAGAUAAAACCACUGUGGUUCAAAAGUUCAGAAUUCAAAGCAUCAAAGUAUAGGGCUGUAAGAAAGGAGAUUCCUCUGGGAUGGCCAUCAUUUCUUACAUUCCCACCAUCGCUUUGCUGGUUUGCUGUGAAAACCAUUCUCCCGGACCCCCUCAUUACAAUUUCUGCUGUGACCAGCCAUAGUCACUUGAAACUCCUGUUAAAAAGCAAGGCAUUUAUCCACGUUGUCAGUUUGUUUUCUCUAUAGCUCAGAGACUAAUCGCUUUCUCAAGAGCCAAACUUUACCAUGUCCUUUAUUUUUGGGAAAAGAAAUUUUGAGGAAAUGCCACUGUGUGGCCACAACAUAUUCCUUAAAAAGAAAUAUAAUAUGUUAUUUAACAAAAGAAAAUGGGCAGGAGAUAAUUUUAGCAAGAAUUGGGUUAUUCAAUGCAUAUUUGAGAAGUGACCUCACCCCAUAACUAAAUCAACCCUAAAAUGUCUUUUUCAACAAAAUGAAAAACUAAUGUCUUCAUACAAGUGAGUCUUGUGGGCUGGCUAGCUGACAGGUCCUGGGGUUGGCGGCCAUUUUCACACGCUUAUCCAUCCAAAAUGGAAAACGGCUAAGUGAGACCAACAAAGCAAUCUUUCCAGGAAUGAAAUCUGGUUAGGAUACAUGAGGAGUGAUGUCUGGCUCAGACAGUGAGUCAACAUAGGAAAUUCAAAAUUAACAUUGCAAAUGGAUCAGCUAGAAUGUUUUAUUUAAAUUGCAUUUCAGUACACAUGUACAAAAUGUCAAAUGUGUACACAAGACCAGAUAAUUUCCGAGAAGAUAUUCAGAACACCUUGUGUUUUGUUUUGCAUAGAUUAAGUAUGGUUAUGGACCUUAUAUUAAGUAAAAAACUUCAUUUUUAAUUUAUCUUUAAAGUUUUAUAAGGGGCAAUUUAGUAGUCUUAUACAGAAAAGUGCAUCUUUAAUUCCCAGUCUACAGAACCACUGUGUCCAUGAAGUAAUUCUAGGCUCCAGGCUGACAGGGCCUGUGGCUAGAGUUUGUUUCUUCACAUAAGAUGGUUAGUUGUAACCCAAGUUCAGCUGUGUCAAAAAGCAACAUAUCUGGGGAGCAGAGACGGUGCAACUGUUGCCAGCCCUUGACUUCCUCACAGAGGACCUGGAACUGGUGCAGAGCAUCAGUAGGUUGUCUCACGACUAUCCAUGACUCAUCAGACUCCAUGGGAUCUGAGGCCUUCUUGGACCUCCACAGACACUAGAAUCUAUGUGAUAUGUGUCUGUGUUUGUGCAUGUGUGUAUAUAUUGUGUGUGUAUUAUAUAUAUUUAUUAUAUAUACACAUACAUAUAUGUAGGUUAAAAACAUUUAUUUAAAAUAAAUAAGUGUAAAUUUUAAAAACUUGACAUUUUCUUCUCACGCUUACACUUCCUUUCCCUCAUUAUUUUUUUCUCUUUUAAUUAGAAUUUUCUCAGUCCUAGUUGGAAAUUCUUAGAUCAGAACCUGAAGAGCAAUAUGAUUUUCUGCCUACUAUUGCCUGAAAUUCUAUAUGAAAAUAGUAUCAUGUUUCUUUACCUCAGAGGGGAAAAUAGAUAGCAUAAAUACUAUAAUACGAAUAAAAUACCACGAAAAUAAUAAUAAUAUUCACACUUAUUUUUAAAUGUAGAAAUCAAGCCACUAGUUGCUUCUGUAAAGACAGAAAUUAUCCAGUAGUCUAUGUGCAUUAUGAAGAGAGACAGAGCACUUUUUGCAGCAUACCAGAGAUAAUCAGCAAUCAAUCUACUUAUUAAAUACAUAGGAAAUCCACAACAUGACUUUUUCUGAAGACCCAGUUCCCAAUUUGAACACUGUAAGACAUUAGAGAAAGAAAAAGACACAUGGCAGGUCUCUACCCCAACCCAGUCCCAGAAGCUGUAAUGCAAAAUUGUGUAGACGAGAUCACCUUGUCAUGGGGUUUUGAUUGAACUUCAUAAGCUGUCUCUCUGAGUAGAUGGGUACAAGACAAACCUAGCUUCAAAUGACAAGCACACCGAGUUAUGGCUAUGCAAGAGAAACUGAGGCUGUACUUGUCAAAUGAUCGAUCACGUAGCAGUUUUGUUUUGAAUUUGAUGAUCUGCUAACGAAAGCCAUGGUUUCCUUUUGGUAGAAUAAUCUUCCAUGCACACAAACUAGCAUCCCUUUGUUAAUAUAGUUAAAACAGAAUAUUAUUCAAAGUUUUAUUUUAAAGAUAGAAAUAUGCAGAAGUCUUAAAAUAUCUGAAAUCUCUAAGUGUUUUAGCAUAUAUUAUACCCAUAAACAAAGCUUUCAGGACUAUUUUUGGCCUUUAAAUAUAUAUUUAAUAUAUUAUUAAACAUACCUACAUAGGUGUGUUCAGGCAAAUUCUAAAUAGAAUAUCUUCUUUUCAAAUCUCUAUUACUUUUUAAAUGGGAAAAAAUAUUUGGUGUGCUACACACUAGAAAUUCACCGAACCUGGUAAAGUUCUAUAAUUCAUUACUUGGCUCUCUAAAAAGAAGAGAGCUCUUUAAGAAAAAACUUUAGAGUUUAGACAUGAAGAAGGUCAUUUAGCCAAGAUCAGUUACCUAGCCAGAGGAGGAGACAGAAGGAUUACAACCCAGAUGGUCUGGUUCCUGAGCUCAUGUUUCUCAAAGGCUCUGUAAUUCAUUUACUUAUUUGUUCCUCUCUGACAGAGCCUCUUGAGUGUUACGGGAGCCUCUUGAUAUUUCAUUUGCUUUUUCUGUGUUGCACUUCCUAAUUUAUCCCUUCCAAAUUUAUUUCUGAAAAAUGUGCUUUUCAUCUUUAAUCUUGGGAGCCUCCUCUCCUCAGAAAUGUUUCUGGCCCCUCUUCCCCAGGUAUUGGUAACCAGCUCUCAAGGCUUUAUGACAUAGAAAUGGCUCAUUGUGACUAGCUAAAUAAUACCAUUCAAAAAGACAAAACUGUACACCGUGAAGAGUCAUUUCUCUCCAUUCUGUAACGGCUCAGUCUGUAUAUGUAAAUUUCUUUCAAUUACAAAAAUAAAGCUAACACCCAUAUUCCAGAAAGAGUACUAGACACAAAAUAACAAGAUAUUAUGGUGUAGACGUGUAUAAAUACGAAUUUGCAUCUGAUCUUAUAUCUAGACACAUUUGGAAAACGCUAACAUGCACAGAUGGCCAAUGCAAUCUACUUUAGUCGACAGUAGAGCUCAUAGCACAAGUGUUCUGGGAUCUCUGUGACAGCUUCCCUACAGAUGGCCUCAGACCUUAUGUUAGGAAUGGCUGACUUUGCACCACGGCUCUUAAUCACCUUUAACCACACAGCAGAUUCACUUAAGGGUGGCAAUAGGCUUGCUUCUUCUAAUUUCCAUGAGCUUUCUUUUUCCUAACAUAAUUUUAGAAGAAAAAGAAAUGCCUGCAUUUUCGUUCUUUCACAAAGACACUUUCUGAAAUAGGGUUUUUUAAAAGUUUUUUUUUUCUUUUUGGCCACAUGAAAAUUUUAGUUCAACUACCUAGCACAAUUAUUUUUUAAAUACAAGCAUAAAAUUGAAUCAUAAACUUAAUUAUGAUUUUUAAAAAGUAAGUUUACUCCAGGAAUCAUGCUCUGGUAGCAGGGUUCUUGUCAAGCACAUACUAAGCCCUAGUUUCAGUCCCCAACACUGUAUAAAAAGGGUCUGGAAGGACAUGCAUUUAACCCUAUGAUUAAAAUGUAGAGAGAGGGAUAUCAGGAGUUGAAGAUAAUCUUCAUCUACAUAGUGAUUUCAAGGCCAGCCCUUGCUACAUAAGUGCUUAUUGAGAAAGAGAGAGAGAGAGAGAGAGAGAGAGAGAGAGAGAGAAUAAUGAUCCACACUUCCUCCUUUCUAAAUUAUAUUUACAAAAUGCCUGAAAUAUUUGUAUGUAUCAGCAUAUGUGUAUAUAUACAUAUGUAUGAUAUAUAUACAUAUACACAUAUGUACAUAUAUAUGAUACAGAAAACAUGUUAUAUAUUUGUGAUAUAAAUGUCAAAUGGUCUUGAAUUCUAACAGUCUAAUGACACUAUCAUAAUAGCCAUCCUUAGAUAGGAUAUAUGGGCAACUCGAGACUUGUCUCUUGUUGAAUUUAAUUCUUUGAAAGGUAGGUACUUCACCUGACUAAACGUUCAUGCUUUUCCCUUGAUGGUUGAUUGGAAGUCCAUAGUGAAUUUCAAAAAACAAUAUGUCUUAAACAGCAGAGGAUAUUUCAGUUCAUAGAAUCUGAAGUAAAGUGACAGAUUAUAAAGACCACCAUUAAAUGUGUGAACACUAACAUGGGCGAAUGCUGUUUGCAUGUAGACCUCAAAGACUCCCUGGUGUGAUUCUGAGUCUUACUUCCUCACAGCCCAGUUCAAGUCGUGACAUUUCAGAACCCUCUGCGUCAUUUUUCAGAUAGAGUACCAUUCUCACUACAAUCCACAUAGUUUGUGAUGGGAAAUGGGGAGCUGGCUGAAGCCCAACUGACUUGACCCCAUAAUGGCUAGCCCUUCCUGCAAACCUCCAGGUAGUGAGCCCACUGCAAACAAUACAGAGGGUUCAGAAUCCACUCCACCUCUGACUGAAUGAAGACGUUUAAUAACAGUUAGUAACCUUGUCUGGACCAUGAUGCCCCUGGCCAGAGGCAGAACAUAUAAUGGUUCUCUUUCUAUUGAUUUCUAUUUGGGCGCAUUGUGUUUUCCCACCCUACAAGCUGCUUCAGUUAAUGCUUUGUCUGACAACUUGAGAAAUGUUUUAUAAAAGUUAGGACAUGAAGAUAAAUUGAAAAAUCUCUUGUUUUAUAAAUUCUGUAGCCGAGCGGGGCUUUACAUAAAACAAAAUAUAUGAAACAUCACACUUAAUUUGAUUUUUAAAAAAUGGUGUUUUAUUGUGGUUAUCUUACAGUCCUGUGAAAAGUCAAAGUAUAACAAGUGAUUAAAACCAAUUACAAGUUCAGUGUUCACUUUAAUAAUAUACGCCUUAUACUGACACAAGUCUUUGCUACUGAACACUGUUUCCUUCCCGACUUUAUAUUUUCAUACCACCAUUUGCCAAUCAUGCUGGAAAUGACAUCCGAAUAUAAAUGCUCGGAUGCAAAUUCGAAACCAGAGCCAAAUAGCAGAAGGGAAAGUAAGCAGUGCCUGAAGUAAUCAGACUUAAACUACCAAGUUCACGGCAUGCCCAGGAGCCCUGUAUGGCUCAAUCAUUUUUGGCAGUGCACAGCAUAGACGUUGUUUUCUGACCAAGUCCAAUUCACUGCCCAUAAUACAUUAUAUCGGAAAUUGAAAAUGAUAAGUUCAGUGCAAAAAAAAGUGAUGGAAUAAAUACAAAGUAGUGUGUACUUCUUGUAAUUUCUGGAAAUCCUAAUAGAUUUUUAUGAGUGGGCUGGUUAAUAGGUUUUAAAAUGUUUAAACUAUUGUGAAUCAACUUUGGGCAGGGACGACCUUUUCCAUCACUAUAAACAGAGGGCAAGGUAAGAAAUCAUCUUGCUUAUUGAAAGCUAUAUUUGACUAACUGUUGGUGCAAGGAAUUAUUUUAUGCUGCCUAACAAAAAAAAUUUAAUAAAUUUUUGAAUGAACUCAAAGUAAACUGACAUCAUUAUAAUUAUUUUACUUCAUUAUUGAACUCUAAAUAAGGGGGAAGCUGUAACCUUAAGAGAUUUAGGUGAAAUAUUCAAUUAUAUUUACUGUACAUUUGAGGAGUACACUUGAACUGAAUCCUCUUUACUGGAAAUGUGGGAUAUUUGGGUGGAAACUAUCUGAUAGAUAUAGCAUAUAAGUAUACAUCUUAUAAUGAUAAUAUAUAUACUUUAUGCAUAUUAUGUAAUAUAUUAUAUAUUAUAAUAUAUUAUGCGAUACACACACAUAUAUAUAUAUAUAUAUACAUAUAAAUAUAUUGUAUGCUGUCUUCUCAUGGGAUGGGAAAUGUCUUUUCUAGUAAACUGUUUGCUUUACAAGCACAGUGACCCGAAUUCAAUUCCUAGAAACCAACCAGCUACAAAUGGCAGACACUAUGGUAUGGGGCAUGCUUAGGGGCAGAAUCCUGUGACUCAUUGGUUAGUCUUUGUAGAUAAUUCGUCAAGUUCCAAUUGAGAAAAAGAUGCUAUUUUUUAAAGCAGGAUGAAGGUACCUGAGAAAAGAUGUUCAAGGUUUCACAUACCUACACACACACACACACACACACACACACACACACACACACGACAAGCUUUUCAAUUCUCAAUGAAUGCCAUAUACCCUCUCUUCAUACUCUUAUUCAGUAAAAGCUACACAGCAACUUGAAAUUUCUACAAACAGGGUCAAGAAACGUUCAUUGAUUUAAUAGCUACAGAGAAAUUGAUCUUAAAUAUGAACAAAGAAAUGUGUCCCUGAAACUAACAAAAGUUCUCUUAUGCCAAAUUGUGCCCAAAGAUUAAAGAGAAGGAUGUCUUUGUUGUAUUUGAAGACGCUAGCAUAAUAACACAUCUGGUCUCACAUUUCCUUGCCUCACGGAGUCAUCAAAUACACUAAAAAUGGCCCAGGAAAACUGCAAGUGGAGAACAGUUUAAUUUAUUGGCCAUUCUUGGCUGCUCUCUGGUCUCCCGAGGUGUUGAAGUGAUGUUUACACAGCUUUCCUUAGUCCCUGAGUCUCCUGAGGCUAAAGUUUGUUGCCUAGGUAAGUACAGGAGAGGAUUAAACUGCUGGCCUCUCACUAAACUGCCUGCCUCUCCUUGAUGCACAGCAGCUGAGGGAGCGAAGAUUCCCUGAACCUAUGGAAAUACUGCAAUUGUGACGUAGAAAACAUCGAGUACUCUAUUUUUUUUUUACACUUACCCUUUUUACAUCCCACUCACUGCUCCCCUCCUGGUCACCACCUCCACAAUCCUCCUUUCUCCCUUCUUUCUUCCCCUUUUCCUGUGAGCAGGUGGGCCCUCCUGGAUAUCCCUGGACUCUGACACUAAAAGUCUGCUAGGCCACGUGCUUCCCCUCCCACUGAGGUCAGACAAGGCAGCCCAGCUAGAAUAUAUCCCACAGACAGGAAACAGCUUUUGGGAUAGCCCCUGCUCCAGUUGUUCGGGAUCCGCAUGAAGGCCAAGCUGCAUAUCUGAUAAAUAUAAGCGGGGAGGCCUAGGUCCAGCCCAUGUAUGUUUUUGGUUGGCGGUUCACACUCUGAGAGCCCCAAAGACCCAGGUUAGUUGACUGUGUUGGUCUUUCUCUGGUGUUUGUAUCUUCUUCUGGGACUGCAAAGCUCAGCUAGUUAGGAAGAAGCUGAAAAAUGAAACACCGCAUCCUUGCCUUUGAGUUUCUAAAUAAAAUGGCGGAACCAGAAAUGCCAGAUACAACUAGGCUAGAAGAGCUACAACAGCACACUGCGAUCACAUUAACAAAAUGUCAGCAGGGGAAUCCCCUCAGCCCUCGUAGAGCUUAGGACCCCAUGAAGUGGUCCCUAUGUUGGACCAGUGAGUUACUUCCCCCAGAGUAGAAAAGUAUGUUUAGUAUGAAUGGAAGUAAAUAGUCUGUUCUUUCUCUAUGCAAAUGAGUUAUGGCAUUGAAAAUGGCUUUAAUAUUACUAUUAGAAGACCACAAUGAUUGCCAUGUGUUUCCCACCCUUGCUUUCCUAACUUAUUUUGCCUCUUUUAUCUCCUCUUCUGUCUUUAUCUCUCUCCUUCCCUCUCAACAAUUUAUUGAGAUUCGAUUGCCAAUAAUCUAGCAAUUAGCAUAUAUAGUUUGAUAUUUUCAAAUGCAUUUGUCCAGUGACAAAUUUCGGCCAAUUGAAAGCACGUCCUUCACCCAAAGGAUAGCUUUCUUCCCCUCACCCUCAAUGUCAAUUUCUUUCCUCUGCUUAGGCGAUGCCCCGUCUUCUUGUCCUAUAUAGUAUAGACAGAGUUGCCUUUUUUUUCUUACAAAUAUACUCAUGUAUUAUCCUAUUUUUGGAGAAUGGAUUCUCCACUGAGCAUGUUUUCAAAGGGCAUUCAUGCACACAUGACAUUUUUAUUUUUACUUUAUUUCUUUUUUACUGCCUAACAUUCCAUUCUAAGACUUUAACCCAUUUUGUUCCAUCCACAACUUGAAAGAUACCUGGAUCAUAUUAUUAUUUUAUUAUUAUGAAUAUUGGAUCAUAAUAUAUGUGACUUUGUGUGUUUACAUGCCCUUUGACUUUUUCUUUGUCUGUACGCCUGAAGUAAAAUAGCUGAGUCCUAGAGUGAAGCUGAGUUUAAUCUUUGAGGAACUGACAGACGGCUUUUCCAAGUGGAUACACCAUAUUACAUUCUUACCGGCAGUUGGUAGUGGGCAACAGGUUGAGAUUUGUAACCUGCCUCCUCUCUCUCUCCCUCAUCCCUUCCUUUUCCUCUUUCUCCCUCCUCCCUACCCAUACCCUUUCUUCUCUCUCCCCGUCUCCCUUCUUGUUUCUUCCAUUUGUUUCUUUUAGUGGUGAUUAAAUAAAUUGUCCUCUACAUGA